rnacentral:rRNA from 1 species
UAACUUUGUGCGGUGGAUCACUCGGCUCGUGUCGAUGAA